UUUGGCGGCGAUAAUGCGGUGGGCCCACCUGAACCCAUACCGAACUCAGAAGUGAAACGCCGUAAUGCCGAUGGUAGUGUGGGAU
rnacentral:rRNA from 1 species